rnacentral:misc_RNA from 1 species
UUUUAAUAUUCAUAAAAAUUUAUCACUACCGUUGAUUUUAUCUUUUCAAAUUAUGUUUUCAUCUCUGACGCAUACCAUAUGUGAUUCUUUUUCCUUUUCAUUUUUUAAUAUUGUAAUACCAGAAGGAAAUAGAGCUUUGAAUUAAUUUAAUAAUGGCUGAAUAGCCCAAAUACAAUCACUUCUUCAAUAACAAUAACAAUUUCAGUAGCUUCUAUGUACUGUCCCAGUGCAUAAUCUCAAGAAAUAGAAAAAUUAACACAAGAUAAGUGGAAAGAAACCAAUAAUCCAGGAGAUUACUUUCUGUUAAGCAUAUCCAGGUAGCUCUCCCUCCCUGAUUCCCUCUAACAGAAUUCUCAUACCUUCAGUAGAUUCCUUACUUCCGAAUCUUCUAUUCUGCCAUUUCCUCCCUUUGCGGCUCUGUUUCUUCUAAAAUAGACCCUCAACUGCCUUGGGCCUGCAUUCUCUUUUUCUUGGCUUGCAGCUGAAUGCAUAACAGGGAAGCAGCGCAGCUUCGGCAGGAGGAGUAACAGGGGCCUAUCAUGUGGCUCAAGAUCAGGAUUGGUAAUUCGUGGGCUGUUGUGGCAGCAGCUCUUUGUGCUCUAUUUAGGAUUGGUAAUUAUUAAACUAU